GGAGGAGGAGGAGGAGGAGGAGGAGGCCGGGGUAAUGGAGUGAUGAACGCGAUGACGAGGAGAGGAUGAAGAGGUAACGAGCAGCUUUCAGCCGCUAACUAAUGAGACGCAACCGUCCCCGUCGGUCGCGUCCGGAUCGAUAUCCAUGAAAGACGAGGGACGAAAGACAGCGGCUCCUCCUCCUUGCUCCUGAUGUGACACAUCUGUAAUUCAUCAUUUUCGUUUCGCCGUCCUCAGCGGAGAGUUUGGUCCGGUGACGCAAACUCUUUGUCCCACAGUAAACACACGUGAACCGAGCAAAGUCCGCACACUUCAUCCACCUUCAUUACAACUCUGGAUCUGGUCGUUAAGCAGCAGGUGCACGCUGGGCCUUUACGUGCUGCAGAGGUGUCGGAGCAGUAAGAGCGUUGCAUAAUAACACCGCCAACACUCCCAAUGGUUCCCCUCCUCUCGCGGCUCAGUGCACACGCUGCUGUGUGGCGUUUGGCACAGUGCGCGUCUCCAAUGCGCCGCCGUCUGUGCCCCUCGUUUAUUUAAUUAUUUAGAAAAACAAAAGGUCAGCCGUGGAGGCCCAGCAGGUACACUGUCACGCUGGAUGAACAGGCUUCCACACACACACACACACACACACACACACCUAUUGAGUUAUCGAGUCACUGGGCUGCGCCUCUUCAACGCCGAGUCAGCAAACGCUGUUUUUUUUUGUCUUUUUCAAGGGUCUCGAGUAGGAAAUUGAUGUUUCCUGUUUGCACACGUCAGCGAUGAAAGCUGGUUAAUAAGGGCGCCGCUAUCCAGACCAGGCCAUUCAAUGACACAAUAUGGGGAUGAAUAAAAACACAUUUCAAUGGAGUCUUCGUCAAGGCAAGUGAGUCUGCACCUCAGCCUGAUUGUUUAGGAGCUUUCGUUUAGGUGUUUCUUCUUGCAUCCCUGCAUAUUCCUCACCACCUACGCGCUCUCCUUCGUCUCCUCGUCAUCGCGCUGGUCGCUCUUUCGGGGGAAGCUGAUGGCCAGAGAAACCAUUACAAGCUGCAAAAGAGCCCCACUUUCCCUCACAACCCUCACUUUCACCUCGUUGUUAUGCUUUCAUGGCUCGGAGGAGGAGGAGGAGGAGGAGCAGGAGGAGGGAUGUUUGGAGAGAUGAUUGGAAGAGAAGAAGAGGAAAGUUUGGGGUCUGGCAGCUAGAAGUUCACCUCCGUUUCUCUCUCCCAGGGCUAAUGGGUUAGUUCAACGUGCUGAUUUCUGCAGAAAGCCGCUGUGUUGAGUGGAAAGCGUAGAGACAUCCCCCACAAUCCCUUUCUUACAUGAGUACAUCACUUGGUGGUCUCGAUAUAGCACCGGCGAGGAGAAAGAAACGCUAUUCCUCUUUGUUCCAUUAUGGCAGAAACACACGCGAGGGCCAUGAAUAAUGAAGACCGGUUACAGGCACCUUUAUCAUUAUUUCAGAGAGAGAGAGAAGGGACAAGCGACAGGACGGACAUGAGAGGGUCGGAGGGGCCAAUAAACCGCUGACUCUUCAGGUUUGGACCGAAAGAAGCUCUUUGAGAUCCGCUCGCAGCCUCGGAACAAAAGUUGGUUUCUGCAACCCCGUCUAGGCCAUUUCCUUUAAUAUACACAACUAAAUGCGCUAAAGUGCAGCCUUGUUUGAGUUUAUUUGUGUGUUUUUAGGACUUUUUGUAAAGAGGACAAACUAUAUCAAGCAGAUUUGCAACAGGAGUGAAUCAUUCAGGUGGAUUGAUGUUCCUGACCUCAUGUGCCGUUUUCUUUUCGAGGUUUAUAUUUGAUAAAUCACAACUUUGUUUUAUGAACGUUUCAUAGAAAACACUCACACGUGUAAGCAGCCUUCAUUAAAUGAAUUCAAUAAGGCAGAGUUGACUUUCGAUUUUAUCCUUUUCAAUAAUCUGUUAAACCAAACAGAAGGUACGCUGGGCUUUAAUGUUGGAUUCAAUGGCGUAAGUAAGCUCCAAUUAAAGGAAAGACAAAUACUCUCGUUUGGCUCUUAGAUGUUUAACAGACGUACAUGUUUAGGUUAGCUCGGUUUAAUUAAAGUUAGUCAGAUUUCAAUAUUUAAUUGUUUAACACGAGCAGGAAGAAGCUCAGACAAAGGAGCCGCAGUCAUUUCCAUUAAAUAUAAAUGGACUGUGAUAUCCAAGCAGAAUUAUUUUGAAAAGGUUGCAGAUGAGGAGGCGGGCGUGUGCAGGUGGGCGGAUGAGGAGGUGGGCGUGUACAGGUGGAGGGAUGAGGAGGUGGGCGUGUGGAGGUGGGCGUGUACAGGUGGGGGGAUGAGGAGGUGGGUGUGUGCAGGUGGGCGGAUGAAGAGGUGGGCGUGUGCAGGUGGGCGGAUACAUUCAGACGGUUUAAACUAGUUUCCUGCAUCGACCUUAAGCUCUGUUUAUCGUUGCCACGGAUACGAUUCAUAGAUCUGAGUGGAAACAGGCAACAUAAUCCCCGGUACUCAGAGAGGACGGACAUAAUUUCCCCUGUAAUGGAGAGAUAACAUUUCAAAUUCACAGCUCCGGGAGGGGAGAGGCAUCUAUAUUUCAUCCAGCGAGCAGUAAGUGGUGCAGAGAAAAGAGACGGGACACACAUUCAUAUUUCAUCAGAGAGACACUUGGCAAAAACAACCAGUAAGUGGUGAAAAAAAAAAAGAGGACGGGACAGAAAGAGAAAGGACGCGCAUUCAUAUUUCAUCAAACAGAGAUGCACGGAGUUGAUAAAAACCAGCUACAACUCUCGGGAUCGUCAAUAAAUAGGCAUGAGGGACACUUUCUGAGAAACCCAGCGGGACGCGCAUCCAUAUUUCAUCGGAGAGAGGCGACUGAAAUGGCCUCUAACAGGUGGGCAUCGAUAUAGACACAUCAAGGCCACUUAUGAGGGAGGGGCAGAGGGGCUGAGAGUGCGGGGCAGCAGCAUGUCUAACAGCUGAUAACUGCCUCCAUGAAUAAAGACACACACACAGCGACAUUUAUAGGCAGCCAUUAGACCGCAGGCCGUUACUUUGUUGACACUUUAAGACAUCCAUUUGCUCCAAAAACCAGCCGAACGGGGACAUUGUGACAUCAUCCACCGCAAACACACGACAGCCAAUCAGCACUCGGUGCUCCUUCAAAGAGGACUCGGCUCUGCUUUUUGGUCCACGUCGACGCUAGCGGGGCCAUGACCUCCUUCUGCAGCAGUGAACCAAACACAUCGAUACUUAUGAUACUUAUCAGGCGCCACACACACACACACACACACACAACACUUAUAAUCACUUAUUGUACCAGCAAUAUUAUUUAUUCUUCUAAAUGACACUGAAUGCAAAAGAUAAAUCUGUGAAAAAAUACAUGGAAAUGCACACGGACACACACGCACUCACUCCUCCAGUGCAUUGUGGGUACGGGGUUGACUAAGCGUUGUGUCUAGUGCUGCAUCUCUCUCCACUAAUGUGAUGGCUCAGCCUCUGCGUGUGAGUCUGUGUGUGUUUGUGUGUUUUGUUACACGGAUCGAAAAAAGCAGCAACUCUCCUCAUCGUCCAAAUUCAAUGUUUCUCCUUCUGUUUUGUGUGUCAGUGUGUAUCAGUGUUAGUUUUGUGUCUACAGGUGUGUGUUGUGAAUAUGUGUGUGUGUGUUAUUGAGGGGAAAUGAGGGCUCCUUAUUUGGCCUGACAACGCAAUGAGCCUGUGAGACGAGAUGAGCCUUAAUUAUUGGGCUCCGGGCCAGUAUGUGUGUAUGUGUAUGUGUGUGUUUGUGUGUGUGUGUGUGUGUUUGUCUCUGCGCCCCUCAGACUAAAAUGAUCACAGUGCUGCACUCUCGACACCGAGUGUGUUGACAACAUAAUUGGUUGGCCUGGCAUUUCAAUCCGCCACUGGAAGAUUGCUGUGGGCCGCUGCAUUCUCCGUCCCGCUAGCGGCGGCGACGGCUAACGGGACGGAGAGCGCCGCCAUGGCAACGGCCUCUCCGCCCCCUCUGCCGAUGCUCACAUGAAAUUCACUUUCAAAACUUUCUCUAGUUUUGGCUCGUUGAUUCCCGCUGGUCUCUGACCGGAGAAGACACAUAUAUAUGUAUACAUAUAUAAAUAAAUAAAUAAAUAUAUAUAUUAUUUAU
ensembl:lncRNA